rnacentral:rRNA from 1 species
GACGAACGCUGGCGGCGUGCUUAACACAUGCAAGUCGAACGGAAAGGCCCUGCUUUUGUGGGGUGCUCGAGUGGCGAACGGGUGAGUAACACGUGAGUAACCUGCCCUUGACUUUGGGAUAACUUCAGGAAACUGGGGCUAAUACCGGAUAGGAGCUCCUGCUGCAUGGUGGGGGUUGGAAAGUUUCGGCGGUUGGGGAUGGACUCGCGGCUUAUCAGCUUGUUGGUGGGGUAGUGGCUUACCAAGGCUUUGACGGGUAGCCGGCCUGAGAGGGUGACCGGCCACAUUGGGACUGAGAUACGGCUCAGACUCCUACGGGAGGCAGCAGUGGGGAAUAUUGCACAAUGGGCGGAAGCCUGAUGCAGCAACGCCGCGUGCGGGAUGACGGCCUUCGGGCUGUAAACCGCUUUCGCCUGUGACGAAGCGUGAGUGACGGUAAUGGGUAAAGAAGCACCGGCUAACUACGUG